rnacentral:rRNA from 1 species
GAUGAACGCUAGCGGCAGGCUUAACACAUGCAAGUCGAGGGGUAGAGGUUGCUUGCAACCUUGAGACCGGCGCACGGGUGCGUAACGCGUAUGCAACCUACCUUUUACAGAGGGAUAGCCCAGAGAAAUUUGGAUUAAUACCUCAUAGUAUAUAACCUUCGCAUGUUGGUUAUAUUAAAGUUCCAACGGUAAAAGAUGGGCAUGCGUCCUAUUAGCUAGAUGGUAAGGUAACGGCUUACCAUGGCUACGAUAGGUAGGGGUCCUGAGAGGGAGAGCCCCCACACUGGUACUGAGACACGGACCAGACUCCUACGGGAGGCAGAAGUGAGGAAUAUUGGACAAUGGGCGCAAGCCUGAUCCAGCCAUGCCGCGUGCAGGAAGACGGUCCUAUGGAUUGUAAACUGCUUUUGUACGGGAAGAAACACUCCUACGUGUAGGAGCUUGACGGUACCGUAAGAAUAAGGAUCGGCUAACUCCGUGCCAGCCGCCGCCGUAACAC